AUAUUGAGCCGGAAUAACGGAUUACAUUGAUGUUGUAAAUCAUGGACAUAUUAUGCACCCAAUAUCCGUGUCAAUAUU
rnacentral:tRNA from 1 species